CGGGAUGCGAAGUUCCGCCUGGCACCCGCCCCCCGGUUGCCCAGUCCCAGGCGUGCAGGAGGGCAGAGCCAGCCGGCCGCUUCAGUGUCUCGCUGGCUCGGCUGCCCCCGAACUUGCGGUGCAGAGCUGCCCACAGCAAAAGAGCCUGCCGUGGCGCUCUGACCGACAGACGGGCUCUUCUCUGGACUCAACUCUCAGGCCUCGAACUCUCGGCCUGGCACCCCUGAGAGCCCAGCACCCAGGUGCCCCGCACCCCUAGCGUCUAUGGGUAAGACGGCCCUGGUUCUUAUGAUACUAGAUUUACCUGUGUUUUAUUUUAUAAAUGUGAUCUCGUGAUGCUUUGUGCUUUUAUUUAUAUACUAUUAUAAGUUUUCGGAAAAGUAGGCUAUCUGUGGGAUAUAAAGCUGUCAGUCAAGUCCAACAUCCCAAGAGAGGACUAACUGCCUCUAUGUGGCAGGCAGUUUUGUCGGUUGGUUGGUCGGUUACUGCAAGGAGUGUUAACUGGUAACUGCUCGGAUGCAGUCUUCUCAUGACUCACUACUAUCUAGUAUAUAGUUUAUCUGUUAUGUAACCUAAGCCUGCCUUCAGGAACAACUCUGUAAACCUGAAUGAAUCUGAUAGUAAAGUAGUUUAUGUUAAUAUGAUUCAGAUUCAUGUGUGUUGUCUUUAAGAGGGACAGAAAGGGAUUAUCAACCAGGUAUCAACCAGCACUGGCUCCCGGCCUCUAGAGUUAGGUGAGCGCACAACCCUAGAGUCUGUCAAGACUGGCCCUACGGGCAGGGGUACCUUUACCUUUACCUAUAAUUAUUGAUAGGACUCAAAACGAGCUAGCAACCCGUUUGUCGUUGCAUUAACUAAAACAGGGGAUCGUUUAAACUCUACUAAAUUAUAUAAACGUUUCCGCACUAUCUAGAAUAAAAAGGGCCCUUCUAGUUUAAAGAAUGACACUAACGGUAGACAUUGUGUAAUUUCUACUAUACCAACAGAAUGCUGAAAACUACAUUUUUUAAUUUAAAAAAAAUAAGGGAAGUUUCUAAUAAUGACAAUUUGGUAUGAAUAGACAAUAGAUUCCAAUACCCUUAGGCAAAUCAGUAUAUAAUGGAUGAUGUGGUGUAGCCCCUCUCCUACUGUUUAUUUUCUAAUGAAUAUUUUUAUUCAUUUUUAGGUCAACAGGAGUAUAUAACCAACCAAGAACAUCACACUGUAUUGGUCUUUACAACCUCUUCGAUGUCUGCAUUGGCUCAGUUCAAUAAAUCAUUCCACAGGCUCAA